UGUUUACUUGUAUAGUUAGUCCA
rnacentral:siRNA from 1 species